rnacentral:tRNA from 1 species
GUGGCUGUGGCUCAGUGGUAGAGCGCUUGCCUUACACAUAUGAGGCACUGGAUUCGAUCCUCAGCACCACG